rnacentral:rRNA from 1 species
UACGUAGGGUGCGAGCGUUGUCCGGAUUCACUGGGUGUAAAGGGUCCGCAGGCGGGUCGGUCAGUCGUUGGUGGAAUUCCAGGGCUUAAAUCUGAAACUGCCGACGAUACUGCCGAUCUUGAGUACGGAAGAGGAAGAUGGAAUUCCUGGUGUAGCGGUGAAAUGCGUAGAUAUCAGGAAGAAAACCGGUGGCGAAGGCGGUUUUCUGGUCCGUUACUGACGCUCAGGGACGAAAGCGUGGGGAGCAAACAGG